UGACUAUAAUUAUUAGGUAUUUGAGUUAUUGUUGCUUAGACUUUGCUUUCUUUAAAGUAACCUCCUCUGGCUUUAACAACAGCUUGGCAUAUACCAGGCAUUCGUUCCACAAGUUUUUUAAGGUAUGUUCCAGGGAUUGCAUUCCAAGCUUUCUUAAGUUCAUUAAAAAGAGACUGCUGAUUCGUGGGACGCGUUUUUCUGACCGAUCGAUCCAAUUCAUCCCGCACAAGCUCAAUUGGAGAAAGGUCUGGAGACUGAGGGGGCCAAACCAUCUUUUGAAGAACACCUUCCUCUUCUUUUUUGUCUAGGUAACCCUGACAGAGCUUGGCAGAGUGCUUAGGGUCAUUGUCUUGCUGCAAAACAAACUUAUGAGCCACAAGUCUGAGUCCAGAUGGAACAGCAUGGUGCUGGAGGAUGGAGUGGUACUGUUCCUUCUUCAUGAUACCCUUUACUUCAAACAAAUCUCCUACUCCAUCACCUGCAAAACAUCCCCAUACCAUGGAACUACCACCUCCAUGCUGAAUUGUGGGUGUAACACAUGGUGCUUUCAGACGUUCACCAGUUUGUCUGCGGACAUAGACUCUGCGUUUUGAACCAAACAGUGCAAACUUGUUUCUAGUCAUCAUAAGUCCAAUUUUUGUGAGCUUUUGCCCACUCAUAUCUCUUUUUCUUGUUCUGUGGAUGAAGUAGUGUUUUUUUUUUUGCAGAUACACAACCCUUCAGACCAGCCUUUCUCAAACGUCAUUUCACGGUUGUCAGAGAUAUGGGUUUCGACCUUGUCAUGUUGAUUUCCUCCCUUAUUUGUGGUGCUGUCUUUCGCCGAUCUCUCUUACUGGUGACAAUGCUAUGUUUAUCCUCUGCUUUUGUAGUAACUCUCUUUCGUCCAGGUCUUUUUCUAUCAUCAUAACUUCCAGGUUCCUCUAGUCUCUUCAGAGUGUAGUGGACUCCUUUGUUAAACACCUUUAGGUGUUUUGCAAUUUCUCUUUCUGUGUAUCCUUCUUUCCUCAAUGUACAAAUCUGUACUUUUGUUUCUUUACUCAGUUGCUUCUUUCUAGCCAUUUUUGUGGUAGUUUGAACGCAGUUGAGAUUUAUUAGGAUUUUUGUAUGCAGACUCUCAAAAGCCAAAAAGUUGAAGUGAAUAAUCCAACUGUGAUUUGUUUUUUGCUUUUGCACUGAAGUUGUGACUCUUGCAAAUGUUUUCAACCCUAAAACUAAGCCCUUAUUAUCUUUUGCUGACAUAUAUUUAGCAAUGGUCUGUUAACAUCAAUGUAUAUCUAAAGGUAAAUGGAGUAAAAUGGUGCAUUUCCAUGAAAGCAACAUCUGA